rnacentral:lncRNA from 1 species
UUAAAAUUGGUAUUUUGAAGCUAAUAUAACAUAUUGCUAGCAGUAGGGAUACUUUUGAAGUUUUUUCAUACUUUUAGAGGGCAAAUAUAAAAUUUUAAAAUUUUGAAGGGCAUUCAUGAAAUUAGAAUUUUUCUAUAAUAAUAACAUCCUCAUCCACACAAGAAGAGGAAGAACACAAAAGCCACACGACACUAACUAAAAGGAGAGAGAGAGAGAGAGAGAGAGAGAGAGCAACGUUUGGGGAGAGCGAAGGGGCAAAAGGUUAUCGCUUUGAGAGGUUCUUUUUCUUUAAUUUUUUUGACUCUUUCCAUAGUGCAUGGUUUUCGAAGCUUUGUUAUUAUUAUGAUUAUUAUUAUUAUUAUUAUUAUCAUCAUCAUCAUGAAGAAACGGAAACGACGACGAUACAUGAUGUCCUCGUGUUUUGUGCCCAAGGGACGCAUAAUAUAGCAGGAAAAAAAAACAAAUAAACCCCGGCCGUACGAAUAUUAUUAUACUUGAUUGCAACUCAGGAGGUAAAGUCAUCUUGCAUUGUUAAAUAUUUAGUUCAGUUCCAAAACUGCGGGCCAUUACAAUAAAAUAUUUUUUAAAUGACGUUUUUGAAUAAUACUUGAUUAGAAAAACUUCAAACACUCGCAUGUGAUUUUACUUUUUCUUUCUUUAAUAGCAUAUGGUUUAAUGUAUUAUCAAGUUAGUAUUAUGUGAUUUUGCACUUUUUAUUUUAGUACCCUGUGGUUUAAAGUGUAUCAAGUUAGUACCAUAUGGUUUCGCAUUUUCUCACUUUAGUACCGUAUGGUUUCACACUUUCUCACUUUAGUACCUUGUGGUUUAAAAAUCGUAGAGUACUAACUUAAUACAAAAAUAAAC